rnacentral:rRNA from 1 species
UACGGAGGGGACUAGCGUUGUUCGGAUUUACUGGGCGUAAAGCGCACGUAGGCGGAUCGUUAAGUCGGGGGUGAAAUCCUGGAGCUCAACUCCAGAACUGCCUUCGAUACUGGGAAGCUCGAGUCCGGGAGAGGUGAGUGGAACUGCGAGUGUAGAGGUGAAAUUCGUAGAUAUUCGCAAGAACACCAGUGGCGAAAGCGGCUUCCUGGUCCAGCACCGACGUCAGGCACGAAAGCGUGGGGAGCAAACAGG